rnacentral:rRNA from 1 species
UACGUAGGGGGCAAGCGUUGUCCGGAAUCAUUGGGCGUAAAGAGCGUGUAGGCGGCCCGACAAGUCCGCUGUGAAAGUCCAGGGCUCAACCCUGGAAUGCCAGUGGAAACUGUCGGGCUUGAGUCCGGAAGAGGCGAGUGGAAUUCCUGGUGUAGCGGUGAAAUGCGCAGAUAUCAGGAGGAACACCGGUGGCGAAGGCGGAUCUCUGGGCCAUUACUGACGCUGAGGAGCGAAAGCGUGGGGAGCGAACAGG